AUAUAUAUAUAUAUACAUAUAUAUACAUAUAUAUGUAUGUAUAUGUGUAUGUAUAUGAACUUGUAUAUAACUUAGAGUCAGAGCGGAGAAGAUGGAACAUCAAUGGGGAAAUCUUAUUAAGGAAUUUUGACUGUUAACUGAUUGCUGUUAUAAAACAGGAUUCCAAGGUUUUGUGGACAGCUGUGGUAAAUAUGGAGGCACUUGUGGCGCAACCUUGUGGACAAAUAUAUACACAAGCUUAGUUACAUAUGAAUGCAUGACACACACAUAUAUGAGUAUUUGAACACACACAAACACAAAGACACACAAACACUCAUGCACAUGCACAAAUACUCGCACAAACUCUUAUAACAAAGCAUAAGAAAUAGCAGGUAUAUAUAUAUAUAUAUACAUAUAUUUUUAAUAAUUUAUUAUUAUUAUUAAUAUAAGGAAAUUAAUAUCCAAACUCGUCAUAAGGAUA